AUCGUACCCCAAACCGACACAGGUGGUCAGGUAGAGAAUACCAAGGCGCUUGAGAGAACUCGGGUGAAGGAACUAGGCAAAAUGGUGCCGUAACUUCGGGAGAAGGCACGCUGAUAUGUAGGUGAAGCCCCUGCGGGUGGAGCUGAAAUCAGUCGAAGAUACCAGCUGGCUGCAACUGUUUAUUAAAAACACAGCACUGUGCAAACACGAAAGUGGACGUAUACGGUGUGACGCCUGCCCGGUGCCGGAAGGUUAAUUGAUGGG
rnacentral:rRNA from 1 species